GGCUGAACCAGCAGCAAUACAGGCUGAACCAGCAGCAACACAGGCAACAUAUGCUGUUAUCACAAAACCCAUGAGCAAUACAGUGUAUCAACAGGCUGAACCAGCAGCAACACAGGCUGAACGAGCAGCAACACAGGCAACAUAUGCUGUUAUCACAAGACCCAUGAAGAAUACAGGCUCAGGAUUCUCCAGCUGGUCAGCAACACAAGUUCCCACAGCAGCUACCAACCCAAAAGAGGAUUGCUACGAUCAGAUACUCAAUUAGGAAAGAAUGAGAGUAAUAAUUGUUUCCAGCAUCUCUUUGCUCUAUGUUAAUAUGCCAUUUUGUCUUCCUCU